rnacentral:rRNA from 1 species
UACGUAGGGGGCAAGCGUUGUCCGGAAUCAUUGGGCGUAAAGCGCGUGUAGGCGGUUCGGUAAGUCUGCUGUGAAAGUCCAGGGCUCAACCCUGGGAUGCCGGUGGAUACUGUCGGACUAGAGUACGGAAGAGGCGAGUGGAAUUCCCGGUGUAGCGGUGAAAUGCGCAGAUAUCGGGAGGAACACCAAUUGCGAAGGCAGCUCGCUGGGACGACACUGACGCUGAGACGCGAAAGCGUGGGGAGCAAACAGG